rnacentral:tRNA from 1 species
GCCUCCUUAGCUCAGUUGGUAGAGCGACGCAUUCGUAAUGCGUAGGUCGCAGGUUCAAGUCCUGUAGGAGGCUCCA